AUUGAACGCUGGCGGCAUGCUUUACACAUGCAAGUCGAACGGUAACAGGGUGCUUGCACCGCUGACGAGUGGCGAACGGGUGAGUAAUGCGUCGGAACGUGCCGAGUAGUGGGGGAUAACGCAGCGAAAGUUGUGCUAAUACCGCAUACGUACUGAGGUAGAAAGCGGGGGACCUUCGGGCCUCACGCUAUUCGAGCGGCCGACGUCUGAUUAGCUAGUAGGUGAGGUAAAGGCUCACCUAGGCGACGAUCAGUAGCGGGUCUGAGAGGAUGGUCGGCCUCACUGGGACUGAGACACGGCCCAGAAUCCUACGGGAGGAAGCAGUGGGGAAUUUUGGACAAUGGGCGAAAGCCUGAUCCAGCCAUGCCGCGUGUCUGAAGAAGGCCUUCGGGUUGUAAAGGACUUUUGUCAGGGAGGAAAUCCCUAGUGCUAAUAACACUGGGGGAUGACAGUACCUGAAGAAUAAGCACCGGCUAACUACGUGCCAGCAGCAGCCGCAG
rnacentral:rRNA from 1 species